UGGACGAAGACAGAGAAGUGGAGUAUGACCAUGUAUCAUUGUAGUGAGGAUGUACCUCCAGCGAGGGAGAGCAAGAGUUUGAGUGCCUGAGCCAAGUCAGGACAUGCCAGAGCCUAGUGAGCAGAGAGUCUCACAUGUCCCUGCUAGACAUUCG